rnacentral:pre_miRNA from 1 species
GUUGUUUACUCUCACUCAAAGGCUUCAGGCAAUACCGGAGACCGCGGUGAGCUCGAAGCCUCUGAGGGAGAGUAGACAA